UGGGGAAUUUUGGACAAUGGGCGAAAGCCUGAUCCAGCAAUGCCGCGUGUGUGAAGAAGGCCUUCGGGUUGUAAAGCACUUUUGUCCGGAAAGAAAUCCUUGGCUCUAAUACAGUCGGGGGAUGACGGUACCCGGAAGAAUAAGCACCGGCUAACUACGUGCCAGCAGCCGCGGUAAUACGUAGGGUGCAAGCGUUAAUCGGAAUUACUGGGCGUAAAGCGUGCGCAGGCGGUUUGCUAAGACCGAUGUGAAAUCCCCGGGCUCAACCUGGGAACUGCAUUGGUGACUGGCAGGCUAGAGUAUGGCAGAGGGGGGUAGAAUUCCACGUGUAGCAGUGAAAUGCGUAGAGAUGUGGAGGAAUACCGAUGGCGAAGGCAGCCCCCUGGGCCAAUACUGACGCUCAUGCACGAAAGCGUGGGGAGCAAACAGGAUUAGAUACCCUGGUAGUCCACGCCCUAAACGAUGUCAACUAGUUGUU
rnacentral:rRNA from 1 species